UGCAACAGAUGCAAUUCAUUGGUUCUAGUC
rnacentral:piRNA from 1 species